rnacentral:misc_RNA from 1 species
GGCCGCCAUCAAGAACCACCCCGACAAAGGCGGAGAUCCGGAGAAAUUCAAGGAGCUUGCUCAGGCUUAUGAGGUUCUCAGCGAUCCCGAGAAGAGGGAGUUGUAUGAUCAGUACGGGGAAGAUGCCCUGAAGGAAGGGUUUGGAGGAGGCGGUGCUUCACAUAGUCCGUUUGAUAUAUUCGAGCAAUUCUUUGGUUCCGGUGGAGGAGCUUUUGGUGGUGGGAGUUCGAGAGGUCGUAGGCAAAGGCGUGGUGAAGAUGUUGUUCAUGCUAUGAAGGUGUCGCUUGAAGACCUUUACAAUGGAACGUCGAAGAAGCUUUCACUAUCGAGAAAUGUGUUGUGCACAAAGUGUAAGGGGAAAGGAUCGAAGAGUGGGGCAUCAGGGAGGUGCUAUGGAUGUCAAGGUUCAGGAGUGAAGAUAUCUACUCGUCAUAUUGGCCCGGGAAUGAUCCAGCAGAUGCAGCAUGUCUGCCCAGAAUGCAAAGGCACAGGCGAGGUUAUCAGUGAUAAGGAUAGAUGCCCACAGUGCAAAGGGGCCAAAGUCACUCAGGAAAAGAAGGUCUUGGAAGUACAUGUUGACAAAGGCAUGCAGCAUGGCCAGAAGAUUGUGUUCCAAGGAGAAGCUGAUGAAGCUCCUGACACAGAGACGGGGGACAUUGUUUUCAUGUUGCAACUCAAGGAGCACCCUAAGUUCAAGCGAAAAUCUGACGAUCUGUUUGUGGAGCAUACCUUAACACUGACCGAGGCCCUUUGUGGAUUCCAGUUUGCACUCACUCAUCUUGAUGGUCGACAGUUGUUGAUCAAGUCCAACCUGGGUGAAGUUGUUAAGCCUGGUCAGUACAAAGCGAUCAACGAUGAAGGCAUGCCUCACUACCAGAGGCCCUUCAUGAAGGGCCACCUCUACAUCCACUUCAAUGUAGACUUCCCUGAAUCCGGAG